AUUGAACGCUGGCGGCGUGCUUAACACAUGCAAGUCGUGCGGUAACAGGCGUAGCAAUACGUGCUGACGAGCGGCGAACGGGUGCGUAAUACAUGGGAAUCUGCCUUUUAGUGGGGAAUAACCCGGCGAAAGCCGGGCUAAUGCCGCAUAAGAUCUUCGGAUGAAAGCGGGGAUCGUAAGACCUCGCGCUGAUAGAUGAGCCCAUGCCGGAUUAGCUAGNGGUGAGGUAACGGCUCACCAAGGCGACGAUCCGUAGCUGGUCUGAGAGGACGGCCAGCCACACUGGGACUGAGACACGGCCCAGACUCCUACGGGAGGCAGCAGUGGGGAAUAUUGGACAAUGGGGGAAACCCUGAUCCAGCGACGCCGCGUGUGUGAAGAAGGCCUGCGGGUUGUAAAAGCACUUUCGGUGGGAACGAAAUAUGCCGGGCUAAUACCCCGGUAGGCUGACGUUACUCAAUGAAGAAGCACCGGCUAACUCUGUGCCAGCA
rnacentral:rRNA from 1 species